UUCAAACUUAAAGGUAGCCCAGGAUCUCAUUCAACUUAAAGGUAGCCAGGAUGUCAUUCAAACUUCAAGGUGGCCCAGGUCUCAUUCAAACUUAAAGGUAGCCCAGGUCUCAUUCAAACUUAAAGGUAGCCCAGAUCUCAUUUAACCUAAAGGUAGCCAGGAUCUCAUUCAAACAAAGAUAGCAAGAAUGUCAUUCAAACUUAAAGGUGGCAAGGAUCUUUCAAACUUAAAGGUAGCCAGGAUCUCAUUCAAACUA